CCAACCAAAAAUUCUAAAAAAAAUUUCCCCAUAAAAAUAUUUGAGUCUAGUUUCGGGGAAAUUUUAUAGAAUUGGAUUUCGAGUUUCAUAACUCAAAAUAUGAUUUUUAAACCGACCACGAUACAGUAGCUAGCUUGCCUGGAACAAAAAAAAAUAUAUAGGAGGAAAUAAAUGAAGUAAGCUGGUAACACCUCGUGUUCGAU
rnacentral:lncRNA from 1 species